UACGUAGGGGGCGAGCGUUGUCCGGAAUGACUGGGCGUAAAGGGUGUGUAGGCGGUUUAUUAAGUUAGAAGUGAAAUACCUAGGGCUUAACCCAGGUGCUGCUUCUAAAACUGAUAGACUUGAGUGCAGUAGAGGAAAGUGGAAUUCCUAGUGUAGCGGUGGAAUGCGUAGAUAUCACGCAGAACUCCGAUUGCGAAGGCAGCAUACCGGCGCCCAACUGACGCUGAAGCACGAAAGCGUGGGUAUCGAACAGG
rnacentral:rRNA from 1 species